CAUUGAUGAGAUAUAGAACAAGCGGAAC
rnacentral:piRNA from 1 species